CGAGAGCUGCAAAGCAAGUAUCAUCAUGUUGAUGAAAGUGCAUUGUCAAGGUGUGAAGAAAUUUGUGAAAUUGCCUAAUGAUUUCACAUUCCAAGAUUUUCUCACUGAAGUUAAAAGCAAAUUUGGGUUUGCAAGCUCUGCAGCUCUUCAAGUCUUUGAUGACACAGACACCAAUGUGGAGGAGGACAUCUUCCAAGAACUGAUUGAAGCCAAUCCACAUUUAUGUUUAACUGUUAAAUGUCUGGAAGAACUUUCUGCUGGC